GCCGGGGUGGCCGAGCGGUCUAGGCGGCGGCCUGCAGAGCCGCUUCACGCAGGUUCGAAUCCUGCCCCCGGCU
rnacentral:tRNA from 1 species